CCAUGCUUGCACAUGUGUAGUUGGUGCCCGGGGAUCAAAUUCUAGUAACAGAGUGCUGCUAACAGCAAAUCUGAACAUAUCUGCUCAGCUUCAGUUUCCAAGCCUAAUGACAAUGACCUUCAGAAUGCUGACUUUGAUCCUCUCUACCACGAUAUUAGAUGACUGUGGGACAACCUAUGGAAGCGUAUGAAGACUGCAUUUCUAAUUUACUGGAGGCCCAAACACGCAAGCACACCUCUUCUUUAAAGAGAAUCUUCCCCAUGAAAACUUUUCAAAGGAGGUGUUCAUGUUUUGAAAGGAUUCAGAUGGUUUCCAGCUGUUCAUGCCGACCUGUAAAUUUGUAUGGAUUUUGCUAAGGUUAGUUGACCACACGCGCUUGGACGUCUGACCAUAGCAUAUUCCAGUGUUCUCUGCAGCUAAGGGUUUACAUGCUUUGAUGACAGGAGAAGCGGGAGAGUACAUUGAACAGCUCAUAUUGCAGUCAAUGUCAUUUUGGAAAGUCCUCUAGUUAGGCAUGACUCUUGUUUUACUCCUUUCGGCCUUGUUUCUUUGGAUGUCAGAAAUUAAAAUGUGAAUAUACAUCUUCAUAAACUGUAAGCAUCACAUGCUUCAAAACUAUUGGGAAAAAAAAAAACAAAUACAAGUAAAUAGAAAACAAAGGGAACUACUUUACUCUAGUUUAAUCCUUGGUUCUAUUUGAUUUGUCAUAGUCUUUUGAUUUUGUGGUUGAAUCAGUCUAG